rnacentral:rRNA from 1 species
UGGGGAAUAUUGGACAAUGGGGGAAACCCUGAUCCAGCAAUGCCGCGUGAGUGAAGAAGGCCUUAGGGUUGUAAAGCUCUUUCGCCCGCGAAGGUAAUGACGGUAGCGGGAGAAGAAGCCCCGGCUAACUCCGUGCCAGCAGCCGCGGUAAUACGGAGGGGGCUAGCGUUGUUCGGAAUUACUGGGCGUAAAGCGUACGUAGGCGGAUGCGCAAGUUGGGGGUGAAAUCCCGGGGCUUAACCUCGGAAUUGCCCUCAAAACUGCACGUCUUGAGACCGAGAGAGGUAAGGGGAAUUCCUAGUGUAGAGGUGAAAUUCGUAGAUAUUAGGAAGAACACCAGUGGCGAAGGCGCCUUACUGGCUCGGUACUGACGCUGAGGUACGAAAGCGUGGGGAGCAAACA